rnacentral:rRNA from 1 species
CGUUCCCAUGCCGAACACGGAAGUUAAGCUCUUCAGCGCCGAUGGUAGUUGGGGGCUUCCCCCUGUGAGAGUAGGACGCCGCCAAGC